rnacentral:rRNA from 1 species
UACGAAGGGGCUAGCGUUGUUCGGAAUUACUGGGCGUAAAGGGCGCGUAGGCGGUACUUCAAGUCAGGCGUGAAAGCCCCGGGCUCAACCUGGGAACCGCGCUUGAGACUGGAGAACUAGAGUUCGGGAGAGGAUGGUGGAAUUCCCAGUGUAGAGGUGAAAUUCGUAGAUAUUGGGAAGAACACCGAUGGCGAAGGCAGCCAUCUGGACCGACACUGACGCUGAGGCGCGAAAACGUGGGGAGCAAACAGG